CAAUAGCGUAUAUUAAAGUUGUUGCGGUUAAAAAGCUCGUAGUUGGAUUUCUGCUGAGAACGACCGGUCCGCCCUCUGGGUGUGUAUCUGGCUCUUUCUUGGCAUCUUCUUGGUGAACGUUGCUGCACUUGACUGUGUGGAGCGCUACCCAGGACUUUUACUUUGAGGAAAUUAGAGUGUUUCAAGCAGGCAUACGCCUUGAAUACAUUAGCAUGGAAUAAUAAGAUAGGACCUCGGUUCUAUUUUGUUGGUUUCUAGAGCUGAGGUAAUGAUUAAUAGGGAUAGUUGGGGGCAUUCGCAUUUAACUGUCAGAGGUGAAAUUCUUGGAUUUGUUAAAGACGGACUACUGCGAANGNAUUUGCNAAGGAUGUUUNCAUUG
rnacentral:rRNA from 1 species